rnacentral:rRNA from 1 species
GACGAACGCUGGCGGCGUGCUUAACACAUGCAAGUCGAACGGAAAGGCCCUGCUCUUGUGGGGUGCUCGAGAGGCGAGCGGGGGAGUAACACGUGAGGAACCUGCCCUUGACUGUGGGAUAACAUCAGGGAACUGGGGCUAAUACCCGAGAGGAGCUCCUGCUGCAUGGGGGGGGUUGGAAAGUGUCGGCGGUGGUGGAUGUACUCGCGGGUUAUCAGCUGGUUGGUGGAGUAGUUGCUUACCAAGGGUUUGACGGGUAGCCGGCCUGAGAGGGUGACCGGCCACCAUGGGCCUACGAUACGCCCCAGACGCCUACCGGCGGCAGCAGUCGGGAAUCUUACACAGUGGCCGCAAGCCUGUUGCAGCAACGCCCCGUGCGGGAUGCCGGCCUUCGGGUUAUAAACCGCUUUCGCCUGUGCCGAAGAGUGAGUGACGGUACUGGGUCAGGAAGCCCCGGCUAACUACGUG